rnacentral:rRNA from 1 species
CCUACGGGAGGCAGCAGUGGGGAAUAUUGGGCAAUGGAGGAAACUCUGACCCAGCGACGCCGCGUGCGGGAUGAAGGCCUUCGGGUUGUAAACCGCUUUCAGCAGGGAAGAAGCGAAAGUGACGGUACCUGCAGAAGAAGCACCGGCUAACUAUGUGCCAGCAGCCGCGGUAAUACAUAGGGUGCAAGCGUUGUCCGGAAUUAUUGGGCGUAAAGAGCUCGUAGGUGGUUCGUCACGUCGGAUGUGAAAAUCUUGGGCUUAACCCCAGACCUGCAUUCGAUACGGGCGAGCUUGAGUAUGGUAGGGGAGUCUGGAAUUCCUGGUGUAGCGGUGGAAUGCGCAGAUAUCAGGAGGAACACCAAUGGCGAAGGCAGGACUCUGGGCCAUUACUGACACUGAGGAGCGAAAGCGUGGGGAGCGAACAGGAUUAGAUACCCUGGUAGUCCACGCCGUAAACGGUGGGCACUAGUUGUGGGGACCUUCCACGGUCUCUGCGACGCAGCUAACGCAUUAAGUGCCCCGCCUGGGGAGUACGAUCGCAGAUUAAAACUCAAAGGAAUUGACGG